rnacentral:lncRNA from 10 species
CUCCUGACCUCAGGUGAUUCGUCCACCCCAGCCUCCCAGACGGCUGGGAUUAUAGGUGUGAGCCACCAUGCCCCGCCCAAAGGGAGAAUGUUCUAAUGCAGCCCUGUGGGAUGACUUGGCUGCAGGAAGUUACAUAAAGGUGACUUAGGUGUUACAGUGACAUGAGAGACCUAAAGGCUGUCAAAGACUGUGACCUCUACCCCAUGGAGGAUGCCCAUCGCCUGAGGAUGAACCCCCACUCCAGAUCAAAAUAUAAAGGAGCAGGGUUGCAGCUCACCUGGGCUGGGGAUUACCCGGACUCUUCAGAAAACAAAACUUACACUUUGUCAUGGAGCAGCUAGAAAUUCACCUCAACAUACUCAAUAAUUCAGCAUGUUUGAGCACAUAUUCCAUGCCAGGCACAGUGCUGGAACAGGGACAGCUGGAACAAAGUGGGAGACCCUCUAGCCACCAGGAUCCCAGAGAAGAAGCGAAGUGACUUGCCUAGAACACCAACCAAAAAUGACGGAGCCAAAAGGUGAGCUCCUAUUUCCUGUUUCUCGUUACCAUCCACUGUAUCCCACCUUCUCCCAGGGAAUUAUUUUACAACAUAGGAAACAUGUUUGCUUAGGAAAUCUCAAAAUUAAAGGCAGGAGCAAGAAAAUGUCCAGCCACUGUGCUAUGAUUUCUGAGCCAGUGAGGGCUGACCAUCACUGUGGGGAGAGCCCAGUGUUCUUGGUCCAGACCCUUUCUUUUGUCACUGGACGCAAGUGGACCUGUUUCCCCAUUUUCUCUGCAAAACCAUCUCCUACUCAAAUUCAUUCAUAGCCCUAGAAUCAGGCAGCCUCCUCUACCUGCUCGUCUCUUAAAUGUGAACAACCAUUAAGAAAUGCAGGAAGGAAAUCUGGUGGAUCCAUUUCCAUAGCCCUUAAUCCCUCUGUUCGUCCUUCCUUGUAUCAAUAUCACUUCCCCAUUCUCCAUUGCCUCCCCCCAGCUAAAGGAAAUCUGACAAAGCAAUGAGUCUAUAGUGGAAGAAAUUAUUAGCCUCAGGUGGACAUCAUUUGGAUCCAACCUACAUCACCUACUGGCUGUAGGACCAUGAGCAAGUUAUUUAAGCUCUCUGUCCCAGUGUCUUCAUUCACAAAUUGAAAUGGACCAUGCCCACCCCUCGGGGGGUUUGUGACAGUUAAGCGAAAUAACACAUAAAUGGCGCUCAAUACAUACGUGUAGCAUGUAAGUAGAACUCAAUAAAGACUCAUUCCUUUAGUUGACAGCUUAUUCAAAUCUAUCAUAGUUUUUGUUGUUGUUGUUGUUGUUGCUCUUGCUUUGUUUUGUUUUUUAAACCACAGGGCCAGAGCUGGGUCAAGGAGGAAGGAGGAGAAGGAAGAGCAUCCUUUAGCCGCCCUCUGACUCUGCCUUUUCGGGUCUCGCUCCUGGCCUCACUGUAGACAUCAUCCCCAGGCACACCUCCUCCGCACCUCCUUCCUGCUAUAGAGUACAGUCCCACAGUGUCGCUUGCCCCAGGCUAGAGUGCAGCAGUGUGAUCAUAGCUCACUGCCAUCUUGAAUUCCUCUGCUCAAGUCAUCCUCCCACAUCAGCCUCCCAAGCAGCUGGGACUACAGGUGUGCACCAUCAUGGCCAGCUAACUUUGUACUGUCUGUAGAGACGGAAUUUUGCUAUGUUACCCAGGCUGGUCUCAAACCCGAGGGCUCAAGCAAUCCUCCUGCCUCAGCCUCCCAAAGUCCUGGGAUUAAAGGCAUGAGUCACCAUGCCCAGCCAGUGGUUGAAACUCUUAUUAUGGCCAUUCUGCGGAUGAGAAGACUGAGUCAUCAGGAGGCAGGGCUUGCCAAGGUCACUGUGUUGGGGAAACACAGUCAGGAUAUGAACUCAGGCUCUUGGGGUCCCUGCUGGUCACUGUCACCCCGUGGCCCUUCUGAAGAAUGUCACAGGAAAGCAAAGCUGAGAGGGCCUCGUGAACUCAUCCAUGCCUGUCUCCCACACUGACCUGCACCUUUGGUCCCAGAGGUGCUUAUGAAAGACAGAUGCUCAGAUCCCUCCUUAGAGAGUCAGAUUCAGGAGGUCUGAUGUGAAUCCCAGAGACCUGGAAUUUUACUGAUGGCCCAGAUAAUUUUUAUGGUCAGAUACUGACCUAAUUCCACCCAGUUUCCCACUAAAUUUUGUAAGUGAGGAAAGCAAUGCAGAAGAGUUACAGGAAGGCCCAGUGUUACAUGCCCAGGUCAUGGCCCAGGGCCAAGCCAGCCCCAAAGGUGGGACCCUGGUUCUCUUAGCCUUCCCUGACACCUGUCACCCUGGCUGCUGCUCCAGGGAACCCUCUCUCGGGAGAAGCUUGAGCAAAUGUUGAUCUUCCCAGAACAGGGGUCUACAGAAUCCAGAGGUGUGGAAACAGUGGGAUGCUAAUAGCUGUUAGAAUUUUGGUUCAUCCAUAGAUCCAAACUUUGAAGCAUUGAGACAAAAGAUAGCUGUGCUUUGAUAGAGAAAAUAGAUAAGAAAAGGGUGUGAAAUCUGAGUGUCACAACAGAGGCAGAAGCAGAUGGAAACUAGGUUUCUGGAGUAGGGGAGGUGGGGACCAACUUUGUUUCUCCUGCUUUUACCUUGUCCUAGUUGGAAUCAUCUCUCCUCAUCCCAGUUACAAAGCCAGAGAGGAUUUACAGUCAAAGCAUCUACACCAGCAGUCCCUCUUACUGACACUGAUCAGACAGGGAGGUAGAACUGAUGGAAAACACAGCACAGCAUCAGAAGCAUAGCUUGGGAGCUUAUUAGCAGCAAAGUGCUGUUCUCUGCGGCAUUUUCUGGUGCUCCAGAAAUACAUCCCCUUGGAUGGAGAUACUACCGGGCCAUCUAAUGUGAAAUUUUCUGCUGGAGUGGUUAACGCUGGAGAUUUCCUUGAAAAACAUCGCCACUGAGAGAGGCUGGCUUCAAGUUUCAUAUAUAUGUAUAUGUAUCUGUGUGUGUGUGUGUGUAUGUGUGUGUCCAUGUGUGUGUAU